UCACAAUUAACAUUUAUUUAAUCUCUCUGAAGGUUAUAUAUCAGAUCCCGCUGAGGGCAUCUCAGCACAGAAGAAAAAGAUUGAGCAUCAACCUGAGACGGUGGAGUUUGAAUCUGCGAAAACAGACCCUGACGAGAAGGAGCCCCCUGUCAAAGGAGACACAUCAUUGAAUGAAUGGGUGGAGUCUAAACUUGAGGGAAAGGAGCCUAUGAGUGAUGGCAGAGACUCUGGGGCGGAGUCAAAGAUAGAACUGACAUCUGACAUCACAGCUGCCUUCAAAACCUUCCAAACUCAGCUGGAACAACACUUUACGGACUGCUGGCAGAAGCUUGAAGCUGAGGUUCUUCUGUCCAUUAAUCAGUGCCAACAGCGUGUCGUGUCCCUGUUGAAUGCUGUUCAUCAGCAAAGGUAUCGGACGCAGGUCCUUCUGU